UUUGUGCCUUAACACAAUCUAACUGAUGUACAUAUUCUAAAAACUCACAUGCAAGUCUGUGUAUAUACAGAUCCAUCUAUCCUUUCUAUUCACAGAAAGAGAAUAUUUGUUCUUACUAGUUAGGGCUAGAAUGUUUUGUAACUGCAUAUCUUUAUUCCUGGGCCAUCUUGGAAAUUACUUGACAUGGGGAAAAGAAGAAAGAUGAGGAGGAAGAGCUGUGAAUCCAACAGGUCUGCAGCAAACGAUUCUUGCCUGCAAGGAGGAAAGAAUACAUUGGCAUCGUUCCAAGUGGGCAUUCUUGAGCCUGUUCACCCAACUCCUGAAAUCUUAUCAGGAAGCUGCUGAUCACCAGUUUCAGUCAUCAACACAGAAGAAGAAUUCUAUGACCAAAUGCAUGGAGUUUUUUCCUAACACACCAAGCGGCAGACACCAGCUGGAUGUUCUUUAGUUCCAUUCCAAUCCUAUCUACCCAGAGGUAGAGUCAGAUUCCACAAACUGAGGGCUCCGUCCCCAAGACUGCCAACUACACACAAACCAGUUGCAAGUCUGGGCCUCUGGAACUUCUGACCACCGCGCUUCAAGUUGCAGUUCCCAUGACCCCUUUUUUGGGUUCAGUUAAUUUGCUGGAACAGCCCACAGAACUCAGGGAAAUGCUUACAUCUACUGGUUUAUUGUAAAAGAUAUUGCAGGCUAGGUGCGGUGGCUCAUGCCUGUAAUCCCAACACUUUGGGAGGCCGAGGCAGGCGGAUAGCUUGAUGUCAGGAGUUCGAGACCAGCCUGGCCAACACUGUAAAAAUGCCGUUUCUAUUAAAAAUACAAUAAUUGGCCAGGCAUGGUGGUGUAUGCCGGUAAUCCCAGCUACUUGGGAGGCUGAGGCAGGAGAAUUGCUUGAACUUGGGAGGAGGAGGUUGUAGUGAGCCAAGAUCGCACCACUUCACUCCAUCCUGGGUGACAGAGCAAGACCUUGUCUCUAAAAAAAAAAAGUAAAUAAAAGAUAUUACAAAAGAUACAGAUGAAGAGGUGCAUAGGGUGAGACAUAGGGGAAGGGGCACAGAGCUUCCAUGCCAUCCCUGGGCACACCGCCCUCCAGGAACUGACAUGUGUUCAGCUAUCCAGAAGCUCUGGUACAUACAUUUUGUUAUUGCACCUGAAAAGUUGUUUGAAACUAGUUUCAUUUAUAUGCUACAACAGACACUUGUAGACACAGAAGUAAGCCAAAGUAAAUUAUGGAUGAGAAAUAUUUGCUGAAAGAUAAAUCAUUUUUCUUAGGCUAGUCUGUGAUCUUAAAGUUUUCUUCUCAUGCUGCACAAGGACAUAUAUUACAAGAUAAGAGGGAAUAUCUGCUUCCUAUAAAGUCUGUAUACCCUCUUCCUGGAAGAGAACACUAAGACAUAAGGAGAGAUCUUUCCAUAAACUUCUUUAAUAUGGGACUUUAUUAAUUUAAUGUAUUUAUUAAUACAUUUAAUAAAUGUAUAUGCUUCAACUAAAAGAUGGCCAAUAGCCAAAGUAAGGAAGAAAUAAUCAGUAAGGUUUAUAAUAUGCUUUCAUUUUUGCCUCUUAUCUCAAAAUUAAUGAAAAGUUUUUCCUUGGCUAGAGUGCUCAGUUCAAUAAGCAUUUAUGUUUCUACUAUUUAAAAAAAUGAUCUCUGUAAGGCUUUAUGCUAAAAGAUGUCAUAGAAAAUGCAAAAACAAAAAAUAAACAAAUUCUUUCCCCCAUGAACUAGCACUUGAAACUUUGAGCUUAUAUAAAUUUUAAAACAGAGUGACAGACUUUUCUGUAUUGAUAUCCCUCAUCUAAGGAAAAAAAAUGCCUUAAACCUUUGCGUACUACCAAAUAAGGCAUGAUUCUCCAUUUAAGCAAUACUUAGUUUUCAACAGAGAAAAUAAAACGUGCUUUAUCCAGACUACCCUUGUAAGAGUUUAGAAAUCAGAUGCUGCUUAAGAACCUGGGACAAACAAACAGAAAAAUAGAAUGGAUUGGUUCCUCGAGAAAAGUUGGUAUUUUGCCAAGCUUGCUUUUUUAGAAGUGUUUUCACAUCCCUACACUUCUUCAGUGCUUUUGAAUUAUGCCUAAUGGAGAUAUUCCAUUUUUCCUAUUUCUAUAAAUGUAAUUUAAGGAAAAGGGUUCAGCAAAUAUGUUCCUCAACCUUGGAGCUCAUAGCCGGUCUUUAGUUUUCCAUCUCAAGUAUUGUGUUCCUCAUCCUGGAAACCACAUAUAUGUUUAUAGGUUUGGUAGUAUAAAAGAUAGAAAGAGGAUCCUUGAGGGCUAUUCUAAAAACACUUUAAUUAUAGAAUUAUUGUUCUUCAAACUCUCCCUGUUUCGUUUUGUUUUUUUCUUGAGACAGUGUCUCAUUCUGUGGCCCAGGCCAGAGUGCAGUGGCACAAUCUCAGCUCACUGCAGCCUCCGCCUUCUAGGUUCAAGCAACUCACCUGCCUCAGCCACCCUACUAGCUGGGAUUACAGGCGUACACCACCAUGCCCAUCUAAUUUUUGUACUUUUUGUGGAGACAGGGUUUUGUUGUGUUGCCCAGGCUGGUCUCGAACUCCUGAGCUCAAGUGAUCCAUCCUCCUCUGCCUCACAAAAUGCUGGGAUUACAGGUAGGAGCCACCACACCUGGCCAACUCCUUUCUUUCCUACAUGAGGUCAAGGCCAAAUGCUCUCCACUUGGAGGCCUUUUUUGAUAUCUUGCUAAUUCUAGGAGGAGUUUUGUGCUUAUUAAAAUCCAAAGACAUAAACCACAUUGCAAUUCAAAAGUAGAAAGAUAGUAGGAUCUGGCUGGGCACGGUGGCUCAUGCCUGUAAUCCCAGCACUUUGGGAGGCUGAGAAGGGUGGAUCACCUGAGGCCAGGAGUUUGAGACCAGGCUGGCCAACAUGGAGAAACCCCGUCUCUACUAAAAAUACAGAAAAUUGGCCAGGGGUGGUGGCAGGCACCUGUAAUCCCAGCUACUCAGGAGGCUGAGGUAGGAGAAUCGCUUGAACCCAGCAGACAGAGGCUGCAGUGAGCCAAGAUCGUGCCAUUGCAUUCCAGCCUGGGCAACAAGAGCAAAACUCCAUCUCAAAAAAAAAAAAAAAAAAAAAGGAAAAACAAGAAAGAAAUAUACGAUCAGUUGGAGAGACAUCCUCCUGGCUUCAGAUGCACAUUGCAAGCGGGCAGGGUUGGGGCAUGAAGAAAACUCCUCACUCAAGUAAACAAAGCCCAUUAGGUUCACUCGUUACCACAGCAGCCUCUGUAGCCAAGAUCUGUGAUGACAGCUAAGUUUACAGCUAUCACAAUAUCAGCUAUCACCAUGUAAAAAGGAUUAUUUCACUGUCACAGCUCAUUAAGAGACAGGCUUGUUAUGAGAUUUUGGCUUAGAUUUUUAUUUAGGAUGUUUGGAUUUUUUUAAAUUAUCACUUAGAUAUUAUCUGUAUCUGAAAAAAUUAUCAAAUACUAAA
rnacentral:lncRNA from 10 species